rnacentral:rRNA from 1 species
UGGGGAAUCUUGCACAAUGGGGGAAACCCUGAUGCAGCGACGCCGCGUGAACGAUGAAGCCCUUCGGGGUGUAAAGUUCUUUCGACAGGAACGAUAAUGACGGUACCUGGAGAAGAAGCUGCGGCUAACUACGUGCCAGCAGCCGCGGUAAUACGUAGGCAGCGAGCGUUGUUCGGAGUUACUGGGCGUAAAGAGUGCGUAGGCGGUUUUCUAAGUUCGGUGUGAAAUCUCCCGGCUUAACUGGGAGGGUGCGCCGAAGACUGGGAAGCUGGAGUGUGGGAAAGGCAGGCGGAAUUCCUGGUGUAGCGGUGAAAUGCGUAGAUAUCAGGAGGAACACCGGCGGUGUAGACGGCUUGCUAGACCAACUGACGCUGAGGCACGAAAGCGUGGGUAGCAAACA